rnacentral:rRNA from 1 species
CCUACGGGAGGCAGCAGUGGGGGAUAUUGCACAAUGGGGGGAACCCUGAUGCAGCGACGCCGCGUGGGUGAAGGAGUGCUUCGGCAUGUAAAGCACUAUCGGCAGGGAAGAAGCAAGACGGUACCUGACUAAGAAGCCCCGGCUAACUACGUGCCAGCAGCCGCGGUAAAACGUAGGGGGCGAGCGUUAUCCGGAUUCACGGGGUGUAAAGGGAGCGUAGACGGCCAGGCAAGCCAGGGGUGAAAGCCCGGGGCCCAACCCCGGGACUGCCCUUGGAACUGCAUGGCUGGAGGGCGGGAGGGGCAGGCAGAAUUCCUGGUGUAGCGGUGAAAUGCGUAGAUAUCAGGAGGAACACCGGCGGCGAAGGCGGCCUGCUGGACCGCGACUGACGUUGAGGCUCGAAAGCGUGGGGAGCGAACAGGAUUAGAUACCCCAGUAGUC